UACGGGGGGAGCAAGCGUUGUUCGGAUUUACUGGGCGUAAAGGGCGCGUAGGCGGCCACCGCAAGUCGACUGUGAAAUCUCCGGGCUUAACCCGGAAAGGUCAGCCGAUACUGCGGGGCUAGAGUGCAGAAGGGGCAACUGGAAUUCUCGGUGUAGCGGUGAAAUGCGUAGAUAUCGAGAGGAACACCUGCGGCGAAGGCGGCUCACUGGCCCGGAACUGACGCUGAGGUGCGAAAGCGUGGGGAGCAAACAGG
rnacentral:rRNA from 1 species